rnacentral:rRNA from 1 species
GACAGAGGAUGCAAGCGUUAUCCGGAAUGAUUGGGCGUAAAGCGUCUGUAGGUGGCUUUUAAGUCCGCCGUCAAAUCCCAGGCUCAACCCUGGACAGGCGGUGGAAACUACCAAGCUGGAGUACGGUAGGGCAGAGGGAAUUUCCGGUGGAGCGGUGAAAUGCGUAGAGAUCGGAAAGAACACCAACGGCGAAAGCACUCUGCUGGCCGACACUGACACUGAGAGACGAAAGCUAGGGAGCGAAUGG